GACGAACGCUGGCGGCGUGCUUAACACAUGCAAGUCGAACGGAAAGGCCCUGCUUUUGUGGGGUGCUCGAGUGGCGAACGGGUGAGUAACACGUGAGUAACCUGCCCUUGACUUUGGGAUAACUUCGGGAAACUGGGGUUAAUACCGGAUAGGAGCUCCUGCUGCAUGGUGGGGGUUGGAAAGUUUCGGCGGUUGGGGAUGGACUCGCGGCUUAUCAGCUUGUUGGUGGGGUAGUGGCUUACCAAGGCUUUGACGGGUAGCCGGCCUGAGAGGGUGACCGGCCACAUUGGGACUGAGAUACGGCCCAGACUCCUACGGGAGGCAGCAGUGGGGAAUAUUGCACAAUGGGCGGAAGCCUGAUGCAGCAACGCCGCGUGCGGGAUGACGGCCUUCGGGUUGUAAACCGCUUUCGCCUGUGACGAAGCGUGAGUGACGGUAAUGGGUAAAGAAGCACCGGCUAACUACGUG
rnacentral:rRNA from 1 species